rnacentral:rRNA from 1 species
GACGAACGCUGGCGGCAUGCCUAAUACAUGCAAGUCGAGCGAACAGAUGAAGUGCUUGCACUUCUGACGUUAGCGGCGAACGGGUGAGUAACACGUAAGGAAUCUACCUAUAAGCGGGGGAUAACAUUCGGAAACGGGUGCUAAUACCGCAUAAUAUCUUCUUCCGCAUGGAAGAAGAUUGAAAGACGGCUCUGCAGUCACUUAUAGAUGACCUUGCGGUGCAUUAGUUAGUUGGUGGGGUAACGGCCUACCAAGACGAUGAUGCAUAGCCGACCUGAGAGGGUGCUCGGCCACAUUGGGAGUGAGACACGGCCCAAACUCCUACGGGAGGCAGCAGUAGGGAAUCUUCCGCAAUGGGCGAAAGCCUGACGGAGCAAUGCCGCGUGAGUGAAGAAGGCCUUCGGGUCGUAAAACUCUGUUAUAAGAGAAGAACAAAUUGUAGAGUAACUGCUACAGUCUUGACGGUAUCUUAUCAGAAAGCCACGGCUAACUACGUGCCAGCAGCCGCAGUAA